UUGCACGCUGGCGGCAUGCCUUACCCAUGCAAGUCGAACGGCAGCACGGGUGCUUGCACCUGGUGGCGAGUGGCGAACGGGUGAGUAAUACAUCGGAACAUGUCCUGUAGUGGGGGAUAGCCCGGCGAAAGCCGGAUUAAUACCGCAUACGAUCUACGGAUGAAAGCGGGGGACCUUCGGGCCUCGCGCUAUAGGGUUGGCCGAUGGCUGAUUAGCUAGUUGGUGGGGUAAAGGCCUACCAAGGCGACGAUCAGUAGCUGGUCUGAGAGGACGACCAGCCACACUGGGACUGAGACACGGCCCAGACUCCUACGGGAGGCAGCAGUGGGGAAUUUUGGACAAUGGGCGAAAGCCUGAUCCAGCAAUGCCGCGUGUGUGAAGAAGGCCUUCGGGUUGUAAAGCACUUUUGUCCGGAAAGAAAUCCUUGGCCCUAAUACGGUCGGGGGAUGACGGUACCGGAAGAAUAAGCACCGGCUAACUACGUG
rnacentral:rRNA from 1 species